ensembl:lncRNA
GUUACUAUUGUGUGUGUGUUAUGGUUUGGCUAGGGUUACUAUUUGGUGAGUGUUAUGGUGGGACUAGGGUUACUUUAAUGCUAGUGUUAGGGUUGGGCUAGGGCUGCUAUAAUGCUUGUGUCAGGCUUGAUCUAGGAUGACUAUUGUUCUAGAGUUAGGGUUUGGUUAGGGUUACUAUUAUGCGAGUGUUAGGGUUGUGCUAGAGUUACUAUUAUGCGAGUGUUAGGGUUGGGCUAGUGUUACUAUUAUGCUAGUUUUAGGGUUGGUCUAGGGUUACUAAUGUGCUAGAGUUAGGGUUUGGCUAGGGUUACCAUAAUGCGUGUGUUAGUUUUGGGAUGGGUUUACUAUUAUGUUAGAGUUAGGGUUGGGCUAGGGCUACUAUAAUGCAAUGCGUAGGGUUUGGCUAGGGUUACUAUUAUGCUAGGGUUAAGGUUGAUCUAAGUUUACAAUUAUGCUAGGGUUACUACUGUGCUAGAGAUACGGUUUGGCUAGGGUUACUAUAAUACUAGUGUUAGGGUUGCGCUAUUGUUACUAUUGUUCUAAUGUCAGGUGUUGGCUAGGGUAACUCAAAAGCGAUGGUUUGGGUUUGGCUAGUGUUUCUAUUUUGAUAGUGUUAGGGUUGGUCUAGGGUUACUGUAAUGCGAGUGCUAUGGUUUGAUAGGGUUACUUUAAUGUAAGUGUAAGGAUUUGGCUAGGUUUACUAUUAUGCUAGUGUUAGUGUUGGGUUAAGUUAACUAUUAUAACAGGGUUAGGGUUUGGGUAGGGUUACUGUUUUUGUAGUUUUAGGGUUUGGCUAGGGUUAGUAUAAUAAGACCGUUGGGGUUUGGCUAGGGCUACUAUAAUGCGAGUGUUAGGGUUUGGCUUGGGUUACUAUUAUGCUAAUGUUAUGGUUGGGCAAGGGUUACUAUUAUGCUAGGGUUAGUGUUACGCUCGGGUUACUAUUAUGAUAGUGUUAGGGUUGGUCUUUGGUUACUAUUGUACUAUAGUUAAGGUUUGGCCAGGGUUACUAUAAUGUGAGUGUUAGGGUUUGGCCAGGGUUACUAUUAUGCUAGUGUUAGGGUCUGGCUAGGGUUACUAUAAUGCGAGUGGUAGGGUUUGGCUAGGGUUACUUAAUGCAAUCAAGCACAGUAAUAUCAUGGUCAGCAAACCAGUUACUCAUAGUUUUGGCACUGUGGACAGGUGCUAAGUCUUGCUGGAAAAGAAAAUCAGCAUCUCCUUAAAGCUUGUCCGCAGUUGGAAGGAUGAAGUGCUCUAAAGUCUCCUGGUAGAUAGCUGCAUUGACUCUUUACUUGAGAAAACCCAGUGGACCAACACCAGCAGAUAACAUGGCACCCCAAAUAAUCACUGACUGUGGAAACUUCUCACUGGACUUCGAUUCUGUGACUCUCCACUCUUCCUCCAGACUCUGGGACCUCGAUUUCCAAAUGAAAUGCAAAUUUACUUUCAUCUUCCCCACAAUUGUGUUUGUG